AGAGUUUGAUCCUGGCUCAGGAUGAACGCUGGCGGCGUGCCUAAUACAUGCAAGUCGAGCGAACGGACGAGAAGCUUGCUUCUCUGAUGUUAGCGGCGGACGGGUGAGUAACACGUGGAUAACCUACCUAUAAGACUGGGAUAACUUCGGGAAACCGGAGCUAAUACCGGAUAAUAUUUUGAACCGCAUGGUUCAAAAGUAAAAGACGGUCUUGCUGUCACUUAUAGAUGGAUCCGCGCUGCAUUAGCUAGUUGGUAAGGUAACGGCUUACCAAGGCAACGAUGCAUAGCCGACCUAAGAGGGUGAUCGGCCACACUGGAACUGAGACACGGUCCAGACUCCUACGGGAGGCAGCAGUAGGGAAUCUUCCGCAAUGGGCGAAAGCCUGACGGAGCAACGCCGCGUGAGUGAUGAAGGUCUUCGGAUCGUAAAACUCUGUUAUUAGGGAAGAACAUAUGUGUAAGUAACUGUGCACAUCUUGACGGUACCUAAUCAGAAAGCCACGGCUAACUACGUGCCAGCAGCCGCGGUAAUACGUAGGUGGCAAGCGUUAUCCGGAAUUAUUGGGCGUAAAGCGCGCGUAGGCGGUUUUUUAAGUCUGAUGUGAAAGCCCACGGCUCAACCGUGGAGGGUCAUUGGAAACUGGAAAACUUGAGUGCAGAAGAGGAAAGUGGAAUUCCAUGUGUAGCGGUGAAAUGCGCAGAGAUAUGGAGGAACACCAGUGGCGAAGGCGACUUUCUGGUCUGUAACUGACGCUGAUGUGCGAAAGCGUGGGGAUCAAACAGGAUUAGAUACCCUGGUAGUCCACGCCGUAAACGAUGAGUGCUAAGUGUUAGGGGGUUUCCGCCCCUUAGUGCUGCAGCUAACGCAUUAAGCACUCCGCCUGGGGAGUACGACCGCAAGGUUGAAACUCAAAGGAAUUGACGGGGACCCGCACAAGCGGUGGAGCAUGUGGUUUAAUUCGAAGCAACGCGAAGAACCUUACCAAAUCUUGACAUCCUUUGACAACUCUAGAGAUAGAGCCUUCCCCUUCGGGGGACAAAGUGACAGGUGGUGCAUGGUUGUCGUCAGCUCGUGUCGUGAGAUGUUGGGUUAAGUCCCGCAACGAGCGCAACCCUUAAGCUUAGUUGCCAUCAUUAAGUUGGGCACUCUAAGUUGACUGCCGGUGACAAACCGGAGGAAGGUGGGGAUGACGUCAAAUCAUCAUGCCCCUUAUGAUUUGGGCUACACACGUGCUACAAUGGACAAUACAAAGGGCAGCGAAACCGCGAGGUCAAGCAAAUCCCAUAAAGUUGUUCUCAGUUCGGAUUGUAGUCUGCAACUCGACUACAUGAAGCUGGAAUCGCUAGUAAUCGUAGAUCAGCAUGCUACGGUGAAUACGUUCCCGGGUCUUGUACACACCGCCCGUCACACCACGAGAGUUUGUAACACCCGAAGCCGGUGGAGUAACCUUUUAGGAGCUAGCCGUCGAAGGUGGGACAAAUGAUUGGGGUGAAGUCGUAACAAGGUAGCCGUAUCGGAAGGUGCGGCUGGAUCACCU
rnacentral:rRNA from 1 species